AUGUUUGGGCCUCCUUCAAGCCUCACCCCAAGGUGCCCCACAUAAGGCCUGUCUAUGGUGAGGUUGCCGAGAGUAAACACGGCGUUCUAUACAGAGUGGACUGGCAGGGGCUGAGCCGGCACCAGAACACAAGGCAUCUUUCUCUUUAAGCCACUCCAUCCUGAGAGUGACAGGUGAACUGCAGGUCAGAAGGAAGGAGGAGGGAGAGUGAGACAGAAAGAAGCAGGACUGCAGCCUCAAAGGGAGAGGCAGGAUUCAGAAAGACCUUCAAGGCCUCAGUGUCUCAAGGUCACUGUUAAAACAUCUGCGAGCAGUGAAAACAGCUUCACUUUUAAAGGCUCAUGUUUCCAGGAACACAGCCCAGUCUCUUGGUGUGGAUGGAGGUGCUUCUCCUCUGGGUAGACACUUCGAAAGAGGUAUCCAUUCUUGGGGCUGGGUCAUGAAGCACCAUCAUUGUGGCAUGCUGUAUUCCAAUGUGGUUUGCUGGAUGUUGGGCUGCAAGAUGGUCACUGGAAAAGGGAAAGGUCAAAUAAGUUUGGAAAAUAUUGUAUGUCCCAGAAUACCUCCCUCCUUAAACUACCCUAAUGUCCUAUGUACCAUAACAUAUCAAAGGCUCUGAGAAAUCCUGCACCAAGCAAGCAUGUUUAACCUUGUCCAACCCCAGGGCUACCCAUGAUAAUUGGCCACAGACCUCUUCACUUGGACUUCAUCCCUAUUAGCAUUGGGCAGAAGUAGUGUUAGGUAGAGCUCAGAUGAGGCACAUUUCCUGCUGGGGGAUGCACCUGAGAUCAGGGCCUUACUUGAAGACCUCAUCUCUGUCACUACUUACUGUGUAACCUUGGCAAGUUCCUUCCUGUCUCUGGGCCUCAGGCUUCUCUUGUGCAUGAAGAGGUUCCGCUCUUGGAUUCUAUGCCUCUGUUGGGACUGCAGACAAGUCAACUCAGUUAAAAGCCAGAGGACAUAAAGGGACAGGGAAAUAGGGGAAGAGAAUGAUUGAAGGAAAGAAGACAUAGAAAAGAAAGGGACCUGGCUUCACAGAAAAAACAUGCUGAAGAAGACUGUUUUCUUUGCAACCGGUUAGGGUUAGCAGUAAAGAAUCUAA
rnacentral:lncRNA from 1 species